AAGUAGUUGAGUCCUGUCAUGAAGUGGAAGGAUUUAGCAGUCUGCAUCUGGUGUGCUGGCAAGGCUUUCCCAGAUGAUUUACAACACUGGUAACAAACAGCUAGUUCAUAUUUUCAUUCCCUGGCUUAACAGCAUUCUUAUUUGGAACGUGAAGUUUCUGAACAAAAAUACUUUUCCUUUGAUUAAACAGAAAAGAACUUAUUCCAAGGAGUGAGAGCUCAGAAAGUAUCUCUACGAGUUGACAGCUUCCAGACUCUUCUCUGUAGUAGCUGUCAUCUACUUUGGUGCAGAUCUCUAGCUGCAAGACAAAAUUAGACACAGGUGCAGACUAUAAAGAACAAUGCAUCAUCUUUUCCUACUUAUAGUCACUUCUCCUACACAGUGGGAUAGAAGACAAGUGAGAUGAAAUCCUGGUUUUCUCUGAAGUUUGUAGGAAAUCUUUUGAAGGUAGUGAGGCCUGAUUUUUACCUAAGUGAUAUGGAUGAACCGAAAGAACAUGAACAUUGAGGUGAGGAGCUUCUUGCCAUCUGAUUGCUCACUAGAACACCUGAGGUUGACCUAGCGGCCUCAAGAUACUUAGAAGUACAUUCCUCAAAGAACAUUACUGCAGUCAUAAAACCUGUUCAUAUUUUUAAAAGCAACAAAGAAGGUUGGGGAAGCAGAAGGAUGAGGAGCCAGGCCUGAAGGGACUGUUAAAGAGUGAUAUAUGUACCCUGGGAAAGUCUAGCAAGCAUUACCAGUGUGUGUGUGUGUGUGAGCUGAUGGAGUGAAUGAGUAUGUGGCACAGGGCUAACGUGGGAAAAGGUAAUGACCACUUCAGAAAGAGAGAGCUGGAAGAGCCACUCAUCAAGAUCCUGUCUCUCCUGUUGAAGAGCAACCUAAGCGCUGACUACUACACCUCAGGGAACUCACUGAUGUGUGUGUUAAUCACCAACAUAGGGUAUCAGAUCAUUUGUGGCUUAAUCUGUUUAGCUGCACUUGCAUCAAACAUAUGCUUGUUGGCAAACAUUUCCAAUGUCCUUCCUCAUGUCCUUCAUGUUGCCUUCUUAACAUAAACCAACUUUCGUGACAGCUGGCUUCAAACAUUGGUAAAAAAUAUCAGCUAAAUAAAGUCCACUGGUUUGUUCUUAGUA